GGGGCUUCUGCAGGGAUAUCAGAUUUAACUGUUUUUUUUUUUCUGCAGGCUCAUUUACCUUCUAUAAUUUGUAGUAAACAGACUUACUGAGAGAAGUUGCCCUGUUGCCAGUCAUGGACCUGGAAGAAUCAUAGCUCUCAGGAAUGAACACUCUGAGUACUUGCUCAGAGCAAGACUCAGAUUCAGAGCUGUGGCCAUAUUUCUUCUCCACAGAAAAUCCCUUUGUGAUGAAUGCCUUGAAAAUAUGCAUGUUUUGUGUCACCUUUUCCAAAGUGCUACUUAAGAUAGCCCUCGACAAAGAGAUGAAAAUGGAGUCUCUUCUGACACUUGUUCAAGUUCAAGUCUAAUUGGCUCCAGAAUGCCAUACAAACUGUGGAGGUCCAGUUUCUCCAACCAGAAGAGGACCAAAUAUUCUGCACAAGGUUUUAGAUCAUUGCAUCAUAGCCAUGGCCCUAGGAACAGGAUACAACUUCCCAGGUGUGCUUGAUAAACAAAUAUCACAUACAUGCCUAUUCUUGAGAACAACCAACCGAUCCUUAUCUUAUUUGAUGAUAGGGGACUGACCACCUUUCGCUAUCUCUGGACACAGUGCACGCUGCUUGGAUACAGCAUUUUGUACAAUGGAGUUCAUCCUUGAAGGGAGACAGGACUCUCAGAGCUGAAGGUCUACAGGCCCAGACAAGCUGGGCCCUCCUUGCAGAUGUCUCUUAUAAACUGGAGUCUGGAUAUUUCAAGAGCUUGUCUGCAGAUGCAGGAUGCUUUCUCAGGAAGAUUGGCUUUGUCCAUGCAGGGACAGGGUAAGCAUCCACAUGCCAAGACCAAAAUUAGAGGCCCAUGCAAGUACACCUCUUUUAAGUAGUCUUGGGACCAUACCAAAGGCUUCCAACUAUCUGCACCGAAAGAAGAUUGACCCAUAUACAAAUUCACCCCGUGGUGCCCCAACAAGGCCAGUGGAGGAAGUGUGAGAAGCAUGCAGAUAGGAGAACUGGUGAAGGUAUCUGAGAUGUCAGCAGGUGGGGCCAUAUUUCUUCUCCAGGGAAAAUCUCAGUAUGAUGAAGAUCUUGAAAAUAUGCAUGUUUUGUUUUAGCAUCUCCAAAGUGCUACUAAACAUAGCCCAUACCCAAGAGACUUAAGUAAUCCACACAGGCAGGGUGGCAGGUGGGUGUGUGAAGGGUGUUGGGGAGAAUUUCAAAACUACGUUGAAAUGUGAAGAUUUAAUUACCCUGGUACUAUGUAAGCAAUCGCCCCACCCAGAUCCAUUCUUAUCUUUUAAUUCACACAUGCUUCCUCAACAGCAUGAGUGUUUCCUUGCCUUUUUCCUGCUUGGACUGAGCCUGAAUUCCCUGCUGACUAUCAACAUAGGUUCUUUAAAAAUCCUACCCACCCGCCACCAUCAACUGGAAAUCCACAGCUCCCGCAAACCUGUACACAGCAUCCUACACUAAGAUGGGGAGAUCAUCAAAUGCCCGAAGUGAUCAUGCACCACAUAAUGAUGCCUCCUACAUCUUCCCAUUUGUGCAUGGCAGCUGCAAGACAUUGUUUAAUAUACUGCUCAUCUAGAUGCAGAGACACACAGACAAACAACUAGGCACAGAGAGAGCCCAUGUUGGAGAUCUCUAUCUCGUUCCUCCCUUAGCAGAUCACGGAGCUCCCAAGGAAGAAGGAGAGGAAGAAAUGUGAGAGCCAGGGGGUUAAAGUCUAGAAAGUAUGCCAGGGAACUACUUAAAACAGAACAUGCCUGAAAUUAACUCCAACAUCCCUGAGUUCUCCCUGUAGGAGUAUGUACUGUGCCGAGAUCAAGGUCCUUACUUCCACAUUAAGCAGAUCUUGAAGAAGGCUCAUUUUUACAGGCCAGAACUGAGAGGACAAUAUCCGAUAUGAUGACCUAGGCACUCCUCAUCACUUGUUUAUAAAGAACAAUAGCAUUCCACAAAGGAGGCUUGGUUUAUGUCUGUAUUUGCAGUA
rnacentral:lncRNA from 1 species